ensembl:snRNA U6 U6 spliceosomal RNA
GGGCACUUCGGCAGCACAUACACCAAAAUCGGAACGAUACAGAGAAGAUUAGCAUGGCCCCUGUGCAAGGAUGACAUGCAGAUUUGUGAAGCUUCCAUAUUUUUA